UACCCAUCCAGAGCGGCCGAGAGACCUGGCUUGUUGACGCCGCAGCAAGUUCACGAAGCAAUCCGUGAAUAGUGCUUCAGCCAGGUCCGAUGGAGA
rnacentral:ncRNA from 2 species